GUAUUUGAAUUUGUGGCGCUUGGUGUCCGCGAGUUGCCGAAUGAAGCUGAGCGUCUCAGUGGAACCAGGGAUCUCAGGGAGGGGAAGGUAUAAAAUUUUCAAAUGGAGGAGUAUACCUGAACCUAAUCAUGGAUGUGAUUUUAUAUACAGAUAAGCUGAUUCUAAAACUUACAAGAAUGGCAAAGAAACAAGAAGAGCUUAAACUGCAAUCAUCAACAGAGAAGCUUUCUGCAACCAAAGUGAAGACUGAAGCCUUAGGCUAUGGCAGAAGUUGGGCGCCUGAAGUACACGUGGAAAUAUGCCAACUGAACAUUGGACUACCACAGACAGGGUCUGGCUUUGUUGCCCUGGUCUUGAACUCCUGGCUUCAAGUGAUUUUCCUGCCUCAGCCUCCUGAAGUGCUGGAAUUACAGGCAUGAGCUGC
rnacentral:lncRNA from 1 species